rnacentral:rRNA from 1 species
GAUGAACGCUGGCGGCGUGCCUAAUACAUGCAAGUCGAGCGAACAGACGAGGAGCUUGCUCCUCUGACGUUAGCGGCGGACGGGUGAGUAACACGUGGAUAACCUACCUAUAAGACUGGGAUAACUUCGGGAAACCGGAGCUAAUACCGGAUAAUAUAUUGAACCGCAUGGUUCAAUAGUGAAAGACGGUUUUGCUGUCACUUAUAGAUGGAUCCGCGCCGCAUUAGCUAGUUGGUAAGGUAACGGCUUACCAAGGCAACGAUGCGUAGCCGACCUGAGAGGGUGAUCGGCAACACUGGAACUGAGAAACGGUCCAGACUCCUACGGGAGGCAGCAGUAGGGAAUCUUCCGCAAUGGGCGAAAGCUUGACGGAGCAACGCCGCGUGAGUGAUGAAGGUCUUCGGAUCGUAAAACUCUGUUAUUAGGGAAGAACAAAUGUGUAAGUAACUAUGCACGUCUUGACGGUACCUAAUCAGAAAGCCACGGCUAACUACGUG